AAACCAGCACCUCAAGUGGUCAGGAUGAUUAUUGGGCCUAAAGCAUCCGUAGCCGGCUCUGUAAGUUUUCGGUUAAAUCUGUACGCUCAACGUACAGGCUGCUGGGAAUACUGCAGAGCUAGGGAGUGGGAGAGGUAGACGGUACUCGGGAGGAAGUGGUAAAAUGCUUUGAUCUCUCGAUGACCACCUGUGGCGAAGGCGGUCAACCAGAACACGUCCGACGGUGAGGGAUGAAAGCUGGGGGAGCAAACCGGAUUAGAAACCCGAGUAGUCC
rnacentral:rRNA from 1 species